CCUACGGGUGGCUGCAGUGGGGAAUAUUGGACAAUGGGCGAAAGCCUGAUCCAGCCAUGCCGCGUGUGUGAAGAAGGCCUUCGGGUUGUAAAGCACUUUCAGUGGGGAAGAAAGCCUUGGGGCUAAUACCCUCGAGGAAGGACAUCACCCACAGAAGAAGCACCGGCUAACUCCGUGCCAGUAGCCGCGGUAAUACGGAGGGUGCGAGCGUUAAUCGGAAUUACUGGGCGUAAAGCGCGCGUAGGCGGUCUGAUAAGCCGGUUGUGAAAGCCCCGGACUCAACCUGGGAACGGCAUCCGGAACUGUCAGGCUAGAGUGCAGGAGAGGAAGGUAGAAUUCCCGGUGUAGCGGUGAAAUGCGUAGAGAUCGGGAGGAAUACCAGUGGCGAAGGCGGCCUUCUGGACUGACACUGACGCUGAGGUGCGAAAGCGUGGGUAGCAAACAGGAUUAGAUACCCCAGUAGUC
rnacentral:rRNA from 1 species